GCAAGUCGAACGAGAAAGCCACUUCGGUGGUGAGUAGAGUGGCGCACGGGUGAGUAACACGUAGGUGAUCUGCCUUUUGGCGGGGGAUAACUCCGAGAAAUUGGAGCUAAUACCGCAUAAGAUCAGUAAAUUUGAAAGUAACUGAUGAAAGAGUGCCUCUUCUUGAAAGCACUCACCGAAAGAUGGGCCUGCGGGACAUUAGUUUGUUGGUGGGGUAAUGGCCUACCAAGACAUCGAUGUCUAGCGGAUCUGAGAGGAUGAUC
rnacentral:rRNA from 1 species